AACUCGACCUUCUGAUUGUUUUGCUAGUAAAAUGGAUAACGAUAAUUAUACAGGGUACCACCUCAGGAAGAAUUGGUGAAAGUACCAUUUAUAAAUAAUUCAGAUAGGCCUAGAUAGUUUUUAGAGGCAGGCCUACAGGAAAGGGAAAUGUUGAUCAUCAUGGUGAUCACACUCUUCCUUGUGUUUCAGCCACCACCAGGGCAGCUCCUGGCACAACUCUUGCCCCUGGCAGUUCCAACACGGGGGCCACAGCUUCCCUAGGUGGAAGUGCAACGACAAGAGGUAGAAUAACCACCGCUACCACUGGGGCAUUCUCUGGAAAGACUCUGGAGCCUGGGAAUGACAACACAGGCAAGUCAAAAAGUAUACAGGGAAUGCUACACCAUGGCUGCUUGGGUGACAGGCCUCUAGGGUAACAUAACCCUGCACUCCCCAUACUGCAGACUUCAUUCUUGCUUUCUUCUCUCUCAGAGGCCACAAGUUCCACAGGAGAGGUCAGGACCACCAGGUCAGAAGCUCCAGGAGGUAUGUUUCGCCAUUCCCAGGCUUUGAUAUUCUUCUCACUGCCCUGUUGUGCUGAGGUG
rnacentral:lncRNA from 1 species